AAUUUGCAUGAACAAAGUUUUGUUCAAAGGUCACAGAGUAUGACACUCUAUGGCUAGUUAUACAGUUACAAAGGCGGAAACUGAACAUAACACUAUUUUAUCCACUGAAGCCUGAAGUGAUUAUUCACUACAGAUCUCUCUUUAGUGACGAUUAUUGAGUAGCAGUGGUGGAGCUCCGGAUCUCUCCUGAUGGAUUUACACACUGUGUGCUGCAGUCUGCUUCUGCUACUGACAUGUUCAGGUCGAGGCUUUGGCCAAGUGUUGGAAUUACCUGAGAGUAUAAAUAAAACAGUUGGAGAGAAUGUAGUAAUUACCCCAAAACGUAUUCCUCAUCCUCCUCACAGCUUUGUCAGAUGGAACUUUAAUACAGUAGUCAUUCUUACUGGACCACCGAAUGGAGUUGAUAUACUGCCACCGUACAAAGACAGACUCAGUUUUAACACCACAUCUUUAGCUCUGGAGCUCAGGAGCCUGACUGAGAGUGAUACUGGACAAUAUGUACUGAGUGUAGACACUACAACUACUUACACUGCUCACACCUCACUGCUGGUACUUGUUCCAGUCUCCAGCGUUACCAUAGUGCCAAGUCAAACAGAGCUGGUUGAAAACAGCACUGUGAGUUUCCUCUGUUCUGCGUCCGGCUCCUCUAUUUCAUUUAUUUGGCUGAAUGGCAGCUCUGAGAUAACGGCAGGGGAGAGAGUUCAGCUAACAGACAACAACAGCAAACUGACCAUUACCAGUGUGAUGAGAGGUGACACAGGCCCAUACGAGUGUGAAGUAUACAACAGUAUCAACAGAAAUAGGAGUCUCCCAUUCAGCCUCACCAUUUACUAUGGUCCUGAAAAUGUUGCUGCAGCAGCAGAUCCAGAGGAACCCUUCUACAGUUCUGGGUCUAAUCUCACAUUAAACUGCUCAGCUGAGUCCAGGCCUGCUGCUGAGUUUCAUUGGGCUGUGAAUGGAACAGAGCUUGUUGAAAUGGGCCAAGAGCUCAAACUGACCAACAUUCAGAUCAGUCACAGUGGCAAUUACACCUGUAUAGCCCAUAACACACAGACCCUACAAAACUCUGUGUCUCUACCCAUCAGCGUCACUAUACUAGUGCCAGUCUCCAACGUUGCCAUAAUACCAAGUCUAACCGAAGUUGAACUCAACAACACUGUGAGUGUCAUCUGCUCUGCAUCCGGCUCCUCUCUCUCAUUUAUUUGGCUGAAUGGCAGCUCUGAGGUAACAGCAGGGGAGCGAGUUCAGCUAACAGACAACAACAGAAAUUUGACCAUUACCAGUGUGAUAAGAGGUGACACAGGCCCAUACGAGUGUGAAGCAUACAACAGCAUCAGCAGAAAAAAGAGUCUCCCAGUCAGCCUCACCAUUAAGAUUAAUGUGCCAGUCUCCAACGUUGCCAUAAUACCAAGUCUAACCGAAGUUGAACUCAACAACACUGUGAGUUUCAUCUGCUCUGCAUCCGGCUCCUCUCUUUCAUUUAUGUGGCUGAAUGCCAGCUCUGAGGUAACGGCAGGGGAACGAGUUCAGCUAACAGACAACAACAGAAAUUUGACCAUUACCAGUGUGAUAAGAGGUGACACAGGCCCAUACGAGUGUGAAGCAUACAACAGCAUCAGCAGAAAAAAGAGUCUUCCAGUCAGCCUCACCAUUAAGAUUAAUGAUAGUGGGAAUGAAGGAGGAGAUGGAGAUUCACUGUCUGCAGGAGCUAUAGCUGGGAUUGUUAUUGGAGUUUUAUUAGCUGUUGCUGCAAUUGCUGGUUUGAUUUUCUAUUUUGUGAAAGUAAAAGAAAUGCCAAGAACAAACUCCAGAGGAAAUAACCAGAGUGGAGCAACACAUAAUGCAGGUGGACAUGAUUCACAGUAUGAAAAUAUCCCCAGAUUCCAUAAUCUGAACACCAGGGUGACUGUGGGUGGAUCUGACACUCAGACGCCUCACAAACCUCACCCUGUUAUGGAUACAUACUAUGAAAAUAUGGUCGGCUCCCAUAACAACCCUGUGAUGCGUCACACACCUCACCCUGAUGAGGGAGUAAUAUAUGAAAACCCCUGACAUGCAGAAAUCAGCUCUUUUUUGAUAAUGAGUUACAAUGUGAUGUCCACGUAUGUGGACACCAGGUCAUAGGAAGUUAAACCCAGUUCAGGAAGGAAGACAUGAUUGUAUGAUCAACACACUGCAUUUUAUCUGUUACCAGCUCUGGAAAGAGGAAGUAACAGUGAAUAUUUGUAUUGAUUUGGUGUAAAGGAGCGGAAAACAAUGAUUUGUUAAAUAUGUUUAUGAAUAAUUAUAGCAUGAAUAGAAGCUGUCAAAGUCUGUACAUAUGACAACUCUGAGAGAUGAAAAUGUAUAAAAACAUUUAUGUGUAGUAAUUUUAUAAGAAAAUAAAUUGUAUUACUUUUGUAUUAAUUCUAAUUCAUUGUACUUAGGAUUAGUAAAUUUAACUUUUCACCUUAAGUUAUUAUUAAUUAUUAUUAUUAUUAAUAACUUAAGGUUAUUUAUAUUGUUGUUUAUCGGGCCUUUACCUAGCCUGUGAUAAGAAAUACCCUUGAAUAUUUUAUGAAAGGUCAGUGAUCUUUUUUACCUUGCGUUCCAUUUUGUUGUUUUGAUUUCUUUAUUUAAAGCAGAAAACUUUCACUUGUUUUGACAAUAUAUAUUCUGUAAAGAUAUAUUCUGUAAAAUCAUUUAUUAGACAUAUGUGUCUAAUUUUCCUGUUUUAUACAAAAGUUUUAAAGGUUAUAAAUUAGAAUGGUUAAAACUCUAUUUCAGUUACAAAUUCAUUCCAAUUUCAUUAGAAUUAUUACAGUUUCCUUGUAAUAAUAAAUGGUGCAGCUAAACAGAACAAUACAAAAAUAAUUCAAUAUAAAAGAUCUAAGACUUCAAGUGCACAGCUUCUACACUUGGUAAAGAUGUGGCCAAACUUGAGGAGGAAAUGCAGAGUUUACGGAGUGAGUACAGGAACAAGAGCAAUACAAAUGCUGUUAGAACCUAGUCUGGUGUAGACAGACCUUCAGAAGGUCUGGACUCCACAGCUGCUUGAAGAGCUCCUCAAGAGGCUGUCUGACUGAUGUAUGUAUGUUCCUAUUAAAACAUACUGAUGUGAAACUGUAGUUAUUCCCCUCAAAAUUUUUUAUUUAAUCAGUCUAUACCAUUUAGUAUCAUAAAAUUUCAAAUUUUUUUUGUUCAUGGUAAAUCCAGCAUUAAGCAGAUCCUUAUAAGUACUUACAGAGAGCUGUAGCUGCCGUGGUUACUGCUGACAUACCUGGUGGCUGGUCCAGGCUCUGUAGCACAAUGUAGUCACUUUCCAGUGCUCUUUUCUUUCCCAGUUUUAUCCUUACCCCGUUCACUGAAACACUCAUUUUUUUUUUAGGAAAAUCAGCCACACUUCCUCAAUCCAGCAUCAAUUCAUUAGUAAUAGUUAAUACAGAAAGAGUGGAGGAACUUUGUGGGGUUAUUUUCAUCUGUCUGCUAGUUUCAACUCAUUAUAUGACUACAGAUUCCUCAAACCUCUAUUUUUUCUUUUCUAUUUCCCUGUUAAGCUUUUGUCAUAUUUUAUCUUGGUUAUGCAUUAUAUCAUGUAUGUAUAUACAGUAUGCAUGUGUCUGCUUUGUUUCUUUGCUAUGUAUUUUUCUUAAUAAAUGCAUAAUAAUAAAUCCA